CUGUGGAAAACACUUUUGGUUGUUGGCUUGUUGCUGUGUUGUUGCUGUGUAUCUGCUAUUGCUGUGUUGACUGCAUACUGCCCAGCUGAUCAUUCCUUUCUUCUUUGUCUUCUAUACCAGGUACACAACCAAUGCACUGUCAAAUGUAAUUGGGAAAUUUGAGCAUGAAUACAAAUGAAAGUCCUGAAGAAUGUCUUUUAUACAUAGAUUGUUACAUUAAAUAUUCAUGUAAUGUGUAAUAGUUAGCAUUCUUGUUUAGAUACUGAAGGUAGCCUGUGUGCCUAGGAGAUGUCAAUAUGUGGUGAUUGAAUGCUAGUUUGUAUAUGUAGGUUGAUAGAUAAAAGGGUCUCCAAUGCAUUAGGUUGUAUCUUAGGUUUUUUUUAUGGUUAGCAUGUCCUUAAAUACAUAGAACUAUCCAUGUCCUUAAAAUAAACGGCGCAAGUCUGCACUUCUCAACCUCACGAAGGUCGAGCCCGAAUCAAACGAACCCAGCAGCCUUUCAUCAGAAAGGCAUUGGCCCAGGUCCAGCCGAUACUGUGUGGGCUGGGUUUGGGCCCACGAUGCUCGAUUAGCUGCCCAUGGGAAUG
rnacentral:lncRNA from 1 species